AUGGACGCAAGUCUGAUGGAGCAACGCCGCGUGAGUGAAGAAGGCUUUCGGGUCGUAAAACUCUGUUGUUGGAGAAGAAUGGUCGGCAGAGUAACUGUUGUCGGCGUGACGGUAUCCAACCAGAAAGCCACGGCUAACUACGUGCCAGCAGCCGCGGUAAUACGUAGGUGGCAAGCGUUAUCCGGAUUUAUUGGGCGUAAAGCGAGCGCAGGCGGUUUUUUAAGUCUGAUGUGAAAGCCCUCGGCUUAACCGAGGAAGUGCAUCGGAAACUGGGAAACUUGAGUGCAGAAGAGGACAGUGGAACUCCAUGUGUAGCGGUGAAAUGCGUAGAUAUAUGGAAGAACACCAGUGGCGAAGGCGGCUGUCUGGUCUGUAACUGACGCUGAGGCUCGAAAGCAUGGGUAGCGAACAGGAUUAGAUACCCUGGUAGUCCAUGCCGUAAACGAUGAAUGCUAGGUGUUGGAGGGUUUCCGCCCUUCAGUGCCGCAGCUAACGCAUUAAGCAUGCCGCCUGGGGAGUACGACCGCAAGGUUGAAACUCAAAGGAAUUGACGGGGGCCCGCACAAGCGGUGGAGCAUGUGGUUUAAUUCGAAGCAACGCGAAGAACCUUACCAGGUCUUGACAUCUUUUGAUCACCUGAGAGAUCAGGUU
rnacentral:rRNA from 2 species